rnacentral:rRNA from 1 species
GUCGAACGAAGUAGCAAUACUUAGUGGCAGACGGGUGAGUAACAUGUGGGUAUCUGCCCUUUGGCCUGGAAUAACACGAGGAAACUUGUGCUAAUACCGGAUAAGUCUUUACAGAGAAAGCUUUAUGCACCAUUGGAUGAGCCCGCACUUGAUUAGUUUGUUGGUAGGGUAAUGGCCUACCAAGACUGUGAUCAAUAGCUGAUUUGAGAGGAUGAUCAGCCACAUUGGGACUGAGACACGGCCCAAACUCCUACGGGAGGCAGCAGUGGGGAAUCUUGCACAAUGGAGGAAACUCUGAUGCAGCGAUGCCGCGUGAGUGAAGAAGGCCCUUGGGUUGUAAAGCUCUUUCGUCGGGGAAGAAAAUGACUGUACCCGAAUAAGAAGGUCCAGCUAACUUCGUGCCAGCAGCCGCGGUAAUACGAAGGGACCUAGCGUAGUUCGGAAUUACUGGGCUUAAAGAGUUCGUAGGUGGUUGAAAAAGUUGGUGGUGAAAUCCCAGAGCUUAACUCUGGAACUGCCAUCAAAACUUUUCAGCUAGAGUUUGAUAGAGGAAAGCAGAAUUUCUAGUGUAGAGGUGAAAUUUGCAGAUAUUAGAAAGAAUACCAAUUGCGAAGGCAGCUUUCUGGAUCAUUACUGACACUGAGGAACGAAAGCAUGGGUAGCGAAGAGGAUUAGAUACCCUCGUAGUCCAUGCCGUAAACGAUGUGUGUUAGACGUUGGAAAUUUAUUUUCAGUGUCGCAGCGAAAGCGAUAAACACACCGCCUGGGGAGUACGACCGCAA